UUUCGCAAUGCCCGAAAGGGUGACGAAGCGACGCCGCGUGAGCGAAGAAGGCCUUAGGGUUGUAAAGCUCUGUCAAGGGUUAUGAAAUGUAGAUGGGUUAAUACCCCAUUUAUUUGACAAAGGCCCAAAAGGAAGCCACGGCUAACUCUGUGCCAGCAGCCGCGGUAAUACAGAGGUGGCGAGCGUUGUUCGGUAUUAUUGGGCGUAAAGAGCACGUAGGUGGUUUUGUAAGUCAGGUGUGAAAGCCUUCUGUUCAAAGGAAGAACGGCAUCUGAAACUGCAGAUCUUGAGUGUAGGAGGGGAGAGUGGAACUUCUGGUGGAGCGGUGAAAUGCGUAGAUAUCAGAAGGAACGUCGGCGGCGAAAGCGACUCUCUGGCCUAUUACUGACACUGAGGUGCGAAAGUUAGGGGAGCAAACGGGAUUAGAUACCCCGGUAGUCCUAACCGUAAACGAUGGGCACUAAGUAGAGGGGUUUUA
rnacentral:rRNA from 1 species